rnacentral:rRNA from 1 species
AGGAUUCAUUGGGCGUAAAGGGUGUAUAGGAGGUCGGGUAAGUCAGGUGUGAAAUCUCACAGCUUAACUGUGAAACUGCGCUUGAUACUGCUCGGCUAGAGGAUCGGAGGGGGUAACGGAAUUUAUGGUGUAGCAGUGAAAUGCGUAGAUAUCAUAAUGUACACCGGUUUCUCAGGCGGUUUCCUUUUAGAUUCCUGACUCUGAAAUAUGAAAGCCAGUUGAGCAAACGGG